rnacentral:lncRNA from 1 species
GUGAAAUGCAUUCCAUAUCUAUGGCUGCUGCUCAACCACUGCUUACAGAGGUAUUUUUUUUUCAUGCAGCUGCUUUGCUGUACUGGAACUUAAAAUCCCUCUUUAGUAAUGAAACAUAAGCAGAGUAAGCGAAUACUACCCUUCUCCAUUCUUAAUUACAGCCACUGGUUAAGAACUAGCAGGUUUUUAUCUACUUCUGCUGUAAGUUAUAAUUAUACCAUUACUGUUGUUAUCUAUAUUGUUGAACAACUGAGAGAGUGCAUACAGAGUCAAUCUAGGGAAAGCAUAGAUUUGG